GGGGGCGAUCGGAUUCGACUGGUUCUCUUCGGGUUGGGGUGGCGUGUCGUGGUUGAUCAGCCGGCCACGUAAAAAGCUGAUCAAACAACAACUGCCAAACCGCAGUUCGCUUUGGCUGCCUGAUUUAGGUUAGGUAGCUCCGGCUUAGGGAUCCCCGCCUGAGGAGCCCGACGGCCGGUCGCAAAUUCAGGCUGGCACUAGUUCACCGCCCACUACGGCUAGUGCGAGACACGUUGCGGGCUAGCGGCGAGCGGGCCUUGUCCGGUGCGCCUUCCGCCGCGAGAUCAAACAACGGACUACGCACGUAGAGGCUUCAGCUCAAGGCUCUCAGGACGCGGGUUCAAUUCCCGCCGCCUCCAUGA
rnacentral:tmRNA from 1 species